UACGUAGGUGGCAAGCGUUAUCCGGAAUUAUUGGGCGUAAAGAGCGCGCAGGUGGUUGAUUAAGUCUGAUGUGAAAGCCCACGGCUUAACCGUGGAGGGUCAUUGGAAACUGGUCGACUUGAGUGCAGAAGAGGGAAGUGGAAUUCCAUGUGUAGCGGUGAAAUGCGUAGAGAUAUGGGGGAACACCAGUGGCGAAGGCGGCUUCCUGGUCUGUAACUGACACUGAGGCGCGAAAGCGUGGGGAGCAAACAGGAUUAGAUACCCCGGUA
rnacentral:rRNA from 1 species